rnacentral:rRNA from 1 species
CGAUGCAACGCGAAAACCUUACCUACCCUUGACAUGUCCGGAAUCCCGAAGAGAUUUGGGAGUGCUCGCAAGAGAACCGGAACACAGGUGCUGCAUGGCUGUCGUCAGCUCGUGCCGUGAGAUGUUGGGUUAAGUCCCGCAACGAGCGCAACCCUUGUCAUUAGUUGCCAUCAUUUGGUUGGGCACUCUAAUGAGACUGCCGGUGACAAACCGGAGGAAGGUGGGGAUGACGUCAAGUCCUCAUGGCCCUUAUGGGUAGGGCUUCACACGUCAUACAAUGGUCGGUACAGAGGGUUGCCAACCCGCGAGGGGGAGCUAAUCCCACAAAGCCGAUCGUAGUCCGGAUUGUUCUCUGCAACUCGAGAGCAUGAAGUCGGAAUCGCUAGUAAUCGCGGAUCAGCAUGCCGCGUCGAAUACGUUCCGGCCUU